UACAGAGGGUGCGAGCGUUUAAUCGGAAUUACUGGGCGUAAAGCGUGCGUAGACGGUUAUUUAAGUCGGGUGUGAAAGCCCCGGGCUCAACCUGGGAAUUGCAUUCGAGACUGAAUAGCUAGGGUACGGUAGAGGGAAGUGGAAUUUCCGGUGUAGCGGUGAAAUGCGUAGAUAUCGGAAGGAACAUCAGUGGCGAAGGCGACCACCUGGCCCAACACUGACGCUGAGGUGCGAAAGCGUGGGUAGCAAACAGG
rnacentral:rRNA from 1 species